CGUAGGGACCAAGCGUUGUUCGGAUUUACUGGGCGUAAAGGGCGUCGUAGGCGGCGUGUAAGUCAGCUGUGAAAUCUCCGAGCUUAACUCGGAACGGUCAGUCUGAUACUGCUGUGCUAGAGUACAGAAAGGGCAAUCGGGAUUCUUGGUGUAGCGGUGAAAUGCGUAGAUAUCAAGAGGAACACCUGAGGCGAAGGCGGGUUGCUAGGCUGAUACUGACGCUGAGUGCGCGAAAGCUAGGGUAGCAAACGGGAUUAGAUACCCCGGUAGUCCUAGCCCUAAACGAUGAAUGCUUGGUGUCUGGAGUUUUAAGUCUCCGGGUGCCGUCGCUAACGCUUUUAGCAUUCCGCCUGGGGAGUACGCACGCAAGUGUG
rnacentral:rRNA from 1 species